rnacentral:rRNA from 1 species
AUUGAACGCUGGCGGCAGGCUUAACACAUGCAAGUCGAACGAGUGGCGGACGGGUGAGUAAUGUAUGGGAAUCUGCCUUAUGGCGGGGGAUAACUACGGGAAACUGUAGCUAAUACCGCGUACCAUAGGAUGAGCCCAUGUGGGAUUAGCUAGUUGGUGAGGUAAAGGCUCACCAAGCCGACGAUCCCUAGCUGGUCUGAGAGGAUGACCAGCCACACUGGGACUGAGACACGGCCCAGACUCCUACGGGAGGCAGCAGUGGGGAAUAUUGCGCAAUGGGGGCAACCCUGAUGCAGCCAUGCCGCGUGUAUGAAGAAGGCCUUCGGGUUGUAAAGUACUUUCGGUAGCGAGGCGUUAACUACAGAAGAAGCACCGGCUAACUCCGUGCCAGCCGCCGCGGUAAUAC